CGACUGAGCAUUAUUUUCAACAUGAAGCUACUUUUUGUCGUACUAGUAAAGUUAGUCCUGGAAGCUGCUUCGUCAUAUUCCUCGGGUAAAGAUGAGCAGUACAUAUGCCAGGGAUAUGAAGAGUAUUUGACAGCGAUAUUCGCGAAGAAUGACUGCCCUGAAGAUGAACGGUUACCAAGAACAAAAAUACUUGGAGUGAUCAUGGAACUGCUGGAGAUAGAGAAGCAAGAGGAACAAAGCUUACAUAUACAAGUACCAAUCACUAGAGAAGAAGACGGAGAAGAACAGUACAUCUGCUCUGGAUUCGAAGAAGAUUUGAAGGGACAUCUCACUAAAGACUGCCCUGAAAUGUACCGCACCUCGCUCAGCUACUUUCACAAAGCAGUGAAAGAUCUGAUAGAAACAAAGGGUGAAGUAAGGGGGUUACACCGAGUUCGCAGAGCAAGCUGGUGCACGCACUGUCCUUAUUACUGUAACUGCUGUAGAAGCUACUGGUGGGGGCGGUGCUCGUGUCCUUCUAGGUGCCGGUGCUGUAAUUAGUAAAUUAAUUAGGACUCAGGCCAGAGUUUAGACAAAAACUUCAGGUGAGAAUUGCAGAGAGUAUUUUAGACAAGGCUUUACUCAGGAGGGGUCUAAGCUCUAGCGACCUAAAACUUUAUGCCCGGCCCCUCAGAAGGCGAGAUUUUAGACGAGAUUUGAGAAAGAACUCUGGGCAGGACUUAAGAGGACGCUUUACAUAAGCAAUCUAAUUUUGAAAAAUUAGAUUAUGGACUUAACAAAUAAAUGAAACAUUUUUUAAUUAAGCUUCGAAUUUAUCUGUGUUUUUUUAGGACAUUGUGAUGUUGAAUUUUUUCUUUUAAGCAGUUUUUGUAUGAUUAUUUGUGAAUAUUUCGGAGCACGAAAAUACGAAUAAAUAUAAUAAAGAUACAAAUUAAUGCGAAGACAACAAACUUGAAGUUUUACGAAAUAACAAAGAAAUCGAUCAUUAG